UACGUAGGGUGCAAGCGUUGUCCGGAAUUAUUGGGCGUAAAGAGCUCGUAGGCGGCCUGUCGCGUCGGCUGUGAAAACCCGGGGCUCAACCCCGGGCCUGCAGUCGAUACGGGCAGGCUAGAGUCCGGCAGGGGAGACUGGAAUUCCUGGUGUAGCGGUGGAAAUGCGCAGAUAUCAGGAGGAACACCUGUGGCGAAGGCGGUGGCCUGGACCGAUGCUGACGCUGAGGCGCGAAAGCGUGGGGAGCGAUCCGG
rnacentral:rRNA from 1 species